GAUGAACGCUGGCGGCGUGCCUAAUACAUGCAAGUCGAGCGAAUGGAUUAAGAGCUUGCUCUUAUGAAGUUAGCGGCGGACGGGUGAGUAACACGUGAGUAAACUGCCUAUAAGACUGGGAUAACUCAGGGAAACCGGGGCUAAUACCGGAUACGAUUUUGAACCGCAUGGUCCGCAAUUGAAAGGCCGCUUCGGCUGUCACCUAUGGCUUGACACGCGUCGGAUUAGCUAGUUGAUGAGGUAACGGCUCACCAAGGCAACGAUGCGUAGCCGACCUGAGAGGGUGAUCGGCCAAACUGGGACUGAGACACGGCCCAGACUCCUACGGGAGGCAGCAGUAGGGAAUCUUCCGCAAUGGACGAAAGUCUGACGGAGCAACGCCGCGUGAGUGAUGGAGGCUUUCGGGUCGUAAAACUCUGUUGUUAGGGAAGAACAAGUGCUAGUUGAAUAAGCUGGCACCUUGACGGUACCUAACCAGAAAGCCACGGCUAACUACGUGCCAGCCGCCGCAGUAA
rnacentral:rRNA from 1 species